ensembl:lncRNA
AGGGUCUGGUCCUUAAAUGUUACUUACACCCCCAUAGCUUGAAACAAUAUAUAUUGUAAUAACCUUAGCUGGAGUGAUUUCUUACUGCUUUUGAUUGGAUAAUAAAGAAAAACUCUCCAUGAGAAUAUCUGGCAGACGUUUCUCUUGGUGAGGUAGAUGUUAAGAGAGAGAGAGAGAUUUUCCCUCUCUCCCUAUCCCAAAUAUCUGUCUUUAUUUUUUGGCCAAUGCUUUGACUCAUGUUGGCAGAGGUGACCCAAAUAAAUGCACUAACACUAGUCAUUUAGGGGGUUAGGGGUUGGGUUAGGAUAAAAAAAAAAAACGUAAUGUACAAGACCCAAGUGUGCUAGUUUCCCUUAUAACGUAGUGUUCCUCCAUCCUUACUUUCUUUUUUUUCUCUUUUACACUGACCCCCCACCCCUUAUCCUUCUUGUUCAUGACAUGGGUGUGCAAUGAUUUGCUUUUGGGGGAUAAAACCCACAGUUUGGGAGUGGAGAGGGAUAUUACAGAGCAGGAUGGCCUGGAGUAAGGUACCUCUGCUCUUGCAUGGAUUUCUCCUGCUGGUUCUGUGUAAACCCUGCCUUCAAGGAGGAAUCUAUAUACCAGCUGGUGCAGGGGGAGGAACUGGAGCUGGAUUAGGGGGUGGUCUUGGAACUGGAGCUGGACUUGGUGCUGGAACAGGUCCAGGAGGUGGAUUUGGUGCUGGUAUCAGAAGUGUUGGGCCAGGAGUUAGUUCUGGAGGAGUUGGAACAAGAUUAGGUCCAGGUGCUGGUCCUGGUGGUCUUGGAAUAGGACCAGGAACUGGCAUAAGACCUGGAACUGGUUAUGAAGGUGGUGGUCCUGGGGGGCAAGGUAUUAGACUGGGUGAUGGAGGCCUUGGAGGAGUUUGGCCUGGUGCUGGAGGUCUUGGAGGAAUUGGACCUGGUGGUGGAGGGCUUGGUACAGGGGGACUUGGUACUGGUGGAUUAGGCACCGGAGGCCUUGGAACAGGUUGAUGAAUUUUCCUUUAUAUAUAAUGGUACUAUAAUGUACCAUAAAAUGUAAUUAACUUAAUUAAUAUUUUGUAAUUAACAUAUCUAACUAUUUAGGGGCAUGCUAUU